UGGUCUUGACAUAGUAAGAACUUUCCAGAGAUGGAUUGGUGCCUUCGGGAACUUACAUAC
rnacentral:rRNA from 1 species